rnacentral:rRNA from 1 species
GACGAACGCUGGCGGCGUGCUUAACACAUGCAAGUCGAACGGAAAGGCCUGCUUUCCCUUGUGGAUUGCGGGUACUCGAGUGGCGAACGGGUGAGUAACACGUGAGUGAUCUGCCCCCAACUUGGGUAUAAGCCUGGGAAACUGGGUCUAAUUCCCGAUAGGACUGCAGGGUGGUGCCUGUGGUGGAAAACGAUUUUCUAGUGGUUGGGGAUGAGCUCGCGGCCUAUCAGCUUGUUGGUGGGGUAAUGGCCUACCAAGGCGGCGACGGGUAGCCGGCCUGAGAGGGUGGGCGGCCACAUUGGGACUGAGAUACGGCCCAGACUCCUACGGGAGGCAGCAGUGGGGAAUAUUGCACAAUGGGCGGAAGACUGAUGCAGCGACGCCGCGUGGGGGAUGACGGCCUUCGGGUUGUAAACUCCUUUCGACCGCGAGGAAGCCACCUGGUUGGAAGGGUGGUGACGGUAGUGGUAGAAGAAGCACCGGCUAACUAUGUG